rnacentral:rRNA from 1 species
UACGGAGGGGGCUAGCGUUGUUCGGAAUUACUGGGCGUAAAGCGCGCGUAGGCGGACCUGCAAGUCGGGGGUGAAAGCCCGAGGCUCAACCUCGGAACUGCCUUCGAUACUGCGGGUCUCGAGUCCGGGAGAGGUGAGUGGAAUUCCUAGUGUAGAGGUGAAAUUCGUAGAUAUCUGGAGGAACACCGGUGGCGAAGGCGGCAUCCUGGACCGGCAUUGACGCUGAGGAGCGAAAGCCAGGGGAGCAAACGGG